rnacentral:tRNA from 1 species
GCGGGUAUAGCUCAGUUGGUAGAGCGUCUGCUUGCCAUGCAGAAGGUCGCCUGUUCGAAUCAGGUUGCCCGCUCCA